AAUCCGAGAAUUUCACCUCCCAGUGGGCUGACCUGAUUGUAGCUGCGGCGGGGCCGGGAAUGAAUCUGGUCGUGGCGUUCAUUGGGAUUAACGUCUACGUCAUCGGGUCGCGCUUGGAGCUGGAAUUACC
rnacentral:misc_RNA from 1 species